rnacentral:rRNA from 1 species
GAUGAACGCUGGCGGCGUGCUUAACACAUGCAAGUCGAACGGAAAGGCCAGUGCUUGCCCUGGUACUCGAGUGGCGAACGGGUGAGUAACACGUGGGUGAUCUGCCCUGUACUUCGGGAUAAGCUUGGGAAACUGGGUCUAAUACCGGAUAGGACAACUUUUUGGAUAUUGUUGUGGAAAGCUUUUGCGGUAUGGGAUGAGCUCGCGGCCUAUCAGCUUGUUGGUGGGGUAAUGGCCUACCAAGGCGUCGACGGGUAGCCGGCCUGAGAGGGUGUACGGCCACAUUGGGACUGAGAUACGGCCCAGACUCCUACGGGAGGCAGCAGGGGGGAAUAUUGCACAAUGGGCGCAAGCCUGAUGCAGCGACGCCGCGUGGGGGAUGAAGGCCUUCGGGUUGUAAACUCCUUUCGCUAGGGACGAAGCUUUUUUGUGACGGUACCUGGAGAAGAAGCACCGGCUAACUACGUG